UGGGAAUAUAGCUCAGUCUUGGCUGGGACGUGAGAGGGGGAGGGUGUUGUCGCUCCUCUCCUCAGUCACUCAACUUUUGCUCAGCGAGGGAAAGAAAACGGGAAGUUGUCUGUUGAAGGAGGAACAUAAAGGAAACUAACAGACAGACAGACAGACAGACAGGUAAACAAACGGAGCAAGAGAAAAAAGAACAGAGACGCGGACACAUACCAAACAGCAAAAAGAGAAAAACGAAAAGAAAAAAGAAAGAGGUAAAUACAAGAAACAAAGCGAAACCAAGAGACAGAGAAAGAGAAAAUCAGUGAAGGAAACGAAGGAGACAAACCAAAAAAAAAAAAGAAAAGAAAAAAAAACAGCGAAAAUUAAAGUGCACGAGAAAGAGAGAAAACUUAUGAUGGAACUAGAAUAAAAAAAUAGCAAUAAAAAGUGAGAAAAAAGAAAAAAAGCAAGAAAGAAAGCGAAGCAGAAACUAACACAAAGGAAAGAGGAAGAAAAAACAAAAAAAAAUUAGAAAAAGAGAAUUGGAGAAAAGAAGAGGAAAGAGAAGAAGAGAGGGAAGGACACAAAACAAAAUAAAAGAAGAGACCAAAGAGAAGAGAAAAACAAAAGAACAAAGAAUAACCAACAACAGAAAUCAAUAAAAAAAUAGAAAGACGUAAAAAGAUAAAAAGAAAAGAGGAGAUAAGAAAAGAGAAGACAAGAGAAAAGAGAAUAAAGGAGAAGAAAAUAAAAAAAACGAAAAGCAUAACCAACAACGGAAUCCAACAACAACAACAACAACAUAGAACGAAAUAAAAAGCUAAAAAUAAAACCGAAUAAAGGAAGGAAGAAUAAGAGGCGAAAAGAAGAAAAAAAAGGGCAAUAAACGAGUCGACAAAUCAGGGCAAGAACGAAGCAGGGAUUGAAACGUGAGAUGAAGCUCCGAAACUGACUGAGACGAAGCAGUAAACCGGCGGCCCUUUCAUCCCUGUGGACCCUUGGGAGGAGGAGGAGGAGGGAGGAGGAGGGAAGAAGAGAAGAAGGAAGGAGGCAAAGGAGGAGGGAGCGAAAAAAGGACACUAAGGAGGAGGAGAAGGAGGAGGAGGAGGAGGGAGCAGUGAAAGAAGAUUAAGGAGGAGGAGGAGGCGGAGGAAGAGAAGGAGGAGUAAAAGGAAGGCUAAUAAGAAGCCAAAAAGAGAAGAAAAGGAAGAAAGAAGACAAGAGGAGAGAAAGGAGGAAGGGAAGAGUCAAAAUAAAGAGGAAAAAAUAAGAGAAAAAUUAAGGAGAGGGAGGAAGAUGAAGAAAACAGAUAACUGGACGUAAGGAAAAGCAAGAGGAAGAGGAAGAGGAAGAGAGUAGUAAAAUAAGAAAGCAGCAAGAGGAAAGAGGAGCAGAGAGAGGAAGAGAAAGUGGAAUCAGAGGAAUUGAAAAAGAUUAGGAUUGAAAAGAUUAGGGGAAAGGAAAGAGGAACAGGAGGAGAAUGAGGAAGUGGAAGCAAAAUAUUGGGAGGUAUUAAGAUUAAGAGAAACACAGAAAGAGGAAAGAGGGAUUAAAGAAGAACAUGAAAAGGACGAUAAUCUAGAGAAAAGAAAAGAGUAAAAACAAUCGAACUAAAAAAACAAGAAGGGAAAGAAGAAGAAAAAGAAAAAGAAGAGGAAGAAGAAAAAGAAAAAGAAAACCAAGAAAAAUAAGGAAAAGAAAAAAAGAAAAUAGACAAGAACAAAAGACAAAACAACAAGAAAAUAAACAAGAUAAAAAAAAAACACAAAAGCAAGGCGGCAAAGACAAAGCAGAAAAGAACGAGAAGAAAAGCAAAAUAAACAACGUGACAAAAAGCAAGAUAGUGAAAAACAAAAACAUGAACUAGAACACGAAC